UGACCGCUGGCGGCGUGCCUACUACAUGCAAGUCGAGCGACCAGACGCGGAGCUUGCUCCUCUGACGUUAGCGGCGGACGGGUGAGUAACACGUGGAUAACCUACCUAUAAGACUGGGAUAACUUCGGGAAACCGGAGCUAAUACCGGAUAAUAUAUUGAACCGCAUGGUUCCAUAGUGAAAGACGGUUUUGCUGUCACUUAUAGAUGGAUCCGCGCCGCAUUAGCUAGUUGGUAAGGUAACGGCUUACCAAGGCAACGAUGCGUAGCCGACCUGAGAGGGUGAUCGGCCACACUGGAACUGAGACACGGUCCAGACUCCUACGGGAGGCAGCAGUAGGGAAUCUUCCGCAAUGGGCGAAAGCCUGACGGAGCAACGCCGCGUGAGUGAUGAAGGUCUUCGGAUCGUAAAACUCUGUUAUUAGGGAAGAACAAAUGUGUAAGUAACUAUGCACGUCUUGACGGUACCUAAUCAGAAAGCCACGGCUAACUACGUG
rnacentral:rRNA from 1 species